rnacentral:miRNA from 1 species
UGGCUGUCCCUGACAGGGCAAGU